CACUUUAACGCAGAUAAUUCGGAUUCCUUCUUGUCAUCAAUCUUCAGGUGCCACACACGGUUCAUGUCCAUAAAAAGGGAUGUGUUUGGCGUGUACAGUCAGGGACGUGUGGACAGACAUUGACUGUAAUGAUGAACAGAAUAAGAGAUGUGUUUGGACCAUUACACCCAGAGAUGUGUGGAUUGACUUUCACUGUAAUGAUGGACAUCUGCUCGUGGAUGGGCAAAAGCAUAACCCCUGCUGGACAUCGUGCUGGAGCUUAGGGGGGACCCCGUGAUCUCCUGCGCCUUCUCCCUCAAACCUCACCUUCAUAUCGCUGAGAUCUGGCUGGGAUCGAACCAGCAACCUCUGAACCCGUGAGGCAGCGCUCUUAACCUGACAUGGGCCAGUUUAUUAGUGAUGCAGCAGUUUCCAGUGAAGCCCCGAAUCAAGGAAAGUAGAGCACAGAUGGGAAAGCAAGGGAGUGUGAUCAAGACCAGAUUCAAACUGCUGAGACAACAUUCUCCAACACCUUGAGUUAGAAGAGGUCAUGGCCAAUCGUUUUGAGACGUGGCACACCAUCGACAGGACACCAGAACUUCUUGUUUUUGCGGAUUAUAUUUAGGUGGCGUAAGCGGAUUCACGUUCAGUCUGACGCACCUUCAGACGCUUGAAAACAUUACAACACGUGCGGACUGUUUAAAGUAGCCUACAGAUUCUGCAGAUGACAGCUCAACGAGAGACUGAACAUCACUCAACAGCCCACCUCUCUUUCCUUCUGGAACACUCCAACCUCUCAACCUGACCUUCAUCUGUUGCAUCGCACCUGUUUUACCGCCCCAGGUCUGCAUUGCCGUGACCCUACAGUGGGAAAAAUGGUUUGAAGAAUGGAUUGAUGGAUGAAUGUCUCUCCUACAUCCUGGCUUAACUCUUAGACGGGGGCCUUUAUGGAAACUGCUGCUCUGAGGCAUCUGCACAUCCAUGGGGCAAACGUACUCUUCGGUCUCCUCCUGUCGCUUCCGCCUCAAUGUCCCGAAACCUCCAAAUGACAGACGUCUUGGCUAAAAGGAGGAGAGGAUGGAAAAGGACAGAUGGAGUUACCAUUGACGUGCAUUAUACGACUGACAGACUGCAACGGUUGGAGUUAAAAAUCAUCAUUUGUGUUCUACUGAAGAAACAAAGUCACCUACAUCUUGGAUGCGCUGGGGUUGUACCUGCAAUGAUGCCAUCCAUCUGCUCCAGAGCGGCUGCCAACAUUUCACUGGCAUCACACAUCAUGAUCACCUUUUUUGAAACCUGCAAAUGAGACAUUCAAAGAAUGGGAGGGCUCGUGUGUAGGAUAAUGGCACAAUUCUCCCAGGACUUUUCUGCACUCCGUUGGAAUGCUCGGAAUUCCAGACCUUCAAAACAAAGUCCCACAGGCUUCAUGUCAUGCUGGUGCCAUUGGCUUACAGUUCAAGAGAAGCUUCCCUACUCCACCCAAGAGGUUGGACUCCUGAAUGAAUCCUGGAAUUGCCAUUUCAAAAUGAAUUUAUAUUAGCAAGGUGAAUUAAAUCUAAUAGAUGGAUAUGCCUCACUUAAGAUUAAUCUAAAGAUUUGUAGCAACAAAUGUCAAAACAUGCAUGUGUAAACAAGUACUAAAUCAUACAAUCCUUGAGGUAUGUAGGAUAGUGUUUUUGUUAUCUAAAACUACUCAGUCAUUUGCAUUAAUUGAAAUACAGCGAAAAUAAAAUAUAAAUAUGAGACAAAAACUUGGAGAGAAAAAAAAAAAAAAAACUAAAACUAAGUUGGAAAUGUUGCCUUAUCAACUAAACUGAAAUAAAAUAAGCUGAAGUACUAAAAUUAAUGAAAUAAAAAAUUAAAUCUAAAUAGAGAGAAAUGUGUGUGUGUAUAUAUAAUAUACACACACACAUAAAACAAAUAAUGGCAUAAAAAUAGGUGAAUUUCAGGCUUAUAGGACAAGGGAUGUGAAAACGGAUUACAGGGGUCUUAAAUUUUUUUACAUUUAAUUAGUUGCAUUACAUUUUUCUUGUGGAAGAGAACUCGAAAAACAGAGAGAUGCAAUGCAAUGGCCAAAGAUGUACUAAUUCUAAAUGUGUAUGAAUGUUAUAACAGUGCUUUAAAUGGGAAUUAACAACACAUAUAUAAAUAUAUAUUAUAUAUACAUUAUAUUAUAUAUAUAUAUAUAUAUAUAUAUAUAUAUAUAUAUAUAUAUAAAAAAAAAAUCAGAAAACUCUUCAACCACUAGUAAACCAUGCUGACCCAUCCCUAUACAGGACACUACUGGUCACAAUUACAAGCCAAAACAGUGGGGGUAAAAUACUCCAAAAAUUGCCCUUUUAAUUGUGUUACUGACUGGGCAAGAGAGCUGCAAAUCUCAAUCACUACACACAGAAGUCUUUGUUUGUCUGUUUACCACCGACCCCCAGAGAAAGAGAACAGAUACAAGCUACAUUCUCAUUCUAACAUGAAUCUAUUCAGUUAUGCACUUAUCUGAUCAACGAGGACUGCAGAAAGGGCAAGACCGGCCCACGUCACUCACAGUUUUUAUGUAGCAAGACGAGUGGGCCAGGGCUUUGUUUAUGGAUAUCAGAUUUUGUUAAGUCAAUGAGUACUUUGUAUACAAUGCUUGUUCAAAAAUACACCAUAUAGCGAGUAGCUUUUUUCUAACCAGAGUUGUUUUAGAGCCUACAUGACCAAGUCAAGCUUCUGACCACAAAACAACAACUAAAUCCUCACCGAAACUUUAUUAAUCACUAUGAAAAAGUGCUAAAAUAACUUAUGAUCUACUGGAUUUGAACUGACAUCCAGACCCAUUACCACCUGUGGAAACACUGGCCAAAGUGAAGGACUUGAAAUCCACGGCUUUUCAAGUUACUUUUGGCUAACGGAAAACAUUCUCCACAUCCCUGGAGGGAAAAGGAGCCGUAUUUAGUCAGCUGCCUGCAUCACUUCCUAUGGGGAAGCCCUGGACUUCUGGCAGCUUCUCCAAACAGUUCAAGGAGAAACUCUAAAAACUGAGUAUUUGCUUUUGUAAUUACAGGGAUGUAAUUUGGCUAGUUUAAGAAUACACAAUAAGAAUUCAAUGCUACAUGAGACCCA